GAGGCCUGGACAGGUGCCUAGGGAGGCCACACCAGCCCCUCACUCUGUCUCUGUUCUUAGAAGAGCUGCCAAAUGAGCGCUGGGGACUAGGCCGGGAGGACUGGAACCCUGAGCCCCAGCCGGAGGUCCCCGAGGAGCCAGAACCCCCGACUCUGGACUACAAUGAGCAGUUGGAGCGGGAGGACUACGAGGACUUUGAGUACAUCCGGCGGCAGCAGAAGCACCCCAAGCCCCCAAGCAGGAGGAGACCUGAGCGGGUCUGGCCCCAGCCUGAGGAGACACGUAUGUGGGAGGAUGGGGACAUGGGAGGCUGGCACUAUUCAGGGUGUGGUUGGGGCACAGUCCCCAGCCUUGGGAACCCAGGGAAGCAGCCUGGAGCUGGGGUAAACAUGAGGACAGCAUAAGGGGCGCAGGGAUCCUGUAGGGGUGUGGGGAUCUCUUAGUGGCAUGGGAAUCCUAUGGGGACAUAGAGGGGUCCUGUAGGGACACAGAGAACCCUGCAGGAACAUGGGGACCCUGUGUGGGUAUGGAGAACUCCAUAGGGACAUGGAAUUCCUAGCAAUGCAUGGGACACUCUUGGGAGGACACUAGAGGUGUG
rnacentral:lncRNA from 1 species